rnacentral:rRNA from 1 species
ACGAACGCUGGCGGCGUGCUUAACACAUGCAAGUCGAACGGAAAGGCCCUGCUUUUGUGGGGUGCUCGCGUGGCGAACGGGUGAGUAACACGUGAGUAACCUGCCCUUGACUUUGGGAUAACUUCAGGAAACUGGGGCUAAUACCGGAUAGGAGCUCCUGCUGCAUGGUGGGGGUUGGAAAGUUUCGGCGGUUGGGGAUGGACUCGCGGCUUAUCAGCUUGUUGGUGGGGUAGUGGCUUACCAAGGCUUUGACGGGUAGCCGGCCUGAGAGGGUGACCGGUCACAUUGGGACUGAGAUACGGCCCAGACUCCUACGGGAGGCAGCAGUGGGGAAUAUUGCACAAUGGGCGGAAGCCUGAUGCAGCAACGCCGCGUGCGGGAUGACGGCCUUCGGGUUGUAAACCGCUUUCGCCUGUGACGAAGCGUGAGUGACGGUAAUGGGUAAAGAAGCACCGGCUAACUACGUG